ensembl:lncRNA
UAGCUCUGUCUGCUGCUGCUCGGACAAGUGGGGGGCACUGGAUCAAUUUCUGGAGCCAGGCAGACUUGCCAACAACAAUUUUCUUUUUCCCAGAGGGCCUCGGAGGCCGGCAGCAGGUUCCAAGCCCUUCCUCUCCUGCCCGCUCGGCGUGGGCUCCUUGACAGCGAGUUUGAAAAGGGUUACAGAGAGGCAGAUAAAUGCCCGGCUUGUUGCAGCCUUCCUGACAGCGCCGACCCCCGCGCCAGUGAGCUCAUGCCCGCCUCAUUACGCGUGGUGCCAGAUUUUUUCCAUUAACAGGGCCAUGAUGUUCAGAGAAUAGGAGCUGGUUUCCUGGGCCCCUGGCUGUCUGACACCCUGUUUUAAGAGUGGAUGGUGAAGUAUGCUCUGUUCAUG